rnacentral:rRNA from 1 species
GAAAUUUAGAUAGAUAUAAAUUAAAUUGAAAUUAUAAAUAUUGUUUAAGUUAAGAUUAUUUUUAUAGUAAGUUAAAAAAUCAAUUAUAUAGAAAGUAAAGGUUAUUGAAAUUUGAAUGGAACGAUAGAGUAAAAGUACUGUAAAGGAAAAGUGAAAGAGAGGAAGAAAUAUUUAUAGAAGUUUUUAAAAAGUGUACCUUGUGUAUCAGGGAAAAUUAAAAUUUAUUAAAUAAAAUAAAGAUCCCGAAAUAAAUAACAGCUAAUUUUAUAAAAAGUUCUUGUAGCAAAAAGAUUUUGAAUAUAAAAUUAAAGAUGAAAUAUCAGUCGAGUUUUAUUAUAUCUGGUUUUUUAAAAAAUGAAUUGAAUUCAGACUUAAAAAAGAAGAUGUUUUAAGUUUAAAGAGUAGAAGGGAAUAGCUUUUUAUUCAAAGAUUAAGUUAUAAUAGUUAGAUAAAAAAUAAAUUUUGUACUAGGCUUAGAAGUAGUCAUUAUAGUAAAGUGUUUAAACUAAGAUAAAUAGAAAAAUAAUUUAUUUUAACUUUAAUUAAUAUUAGGAAAUAAGUAGAAAUUUAAUUUGCUGAGAUAUAUUGGUUUUAUUAGUAGAGUGUAUUGUAUAUAAGAUAUUUAAAUUAUAUAAAAAAGUUUAAAAUUAUAUAGAUAUAAGAGAGGAACUCGGCAAAAAUAUUUCCUUGCCUGUUUAUCAAAAACAUGUCCAUUUGAAGAUGUAAAUGGUCUGACCUGCUCACUGAUAAAAUUAUUUAAGAGCCGCGGUAUACUGACCGUGCAAAGGUAGCAUAAUCAUUAGAGGUUUAAUUGGAAUCUGGAAUGAAGGGUUGGACAAAGGAACAACUAUCUUAAAUUAUAUAAGUUGAAAUUUACUUUUAAGUGAAAAGGCUUAAAUAUUUUAGGGGGACGAUAAGACCCUAUAAAGCUUUAUAGAUAAUUUAAAUUUAGUUGAAUUAAAUUAUAAAAAUUAAAUUUAAUUAUUCUAUUUUGUUGGGGUGAUAUGAGUAUAAGUAUUGUUAACUGCUUAAUAGUAAUUCUAUCAUAGUAGCAUUAAUAAAUUGAAUGAUCCUUUUUAAAGAUUAAAAGACUAAGUUACUUUAGGGAUAACAGCGUUAUUUUUCUUGAGAGUUCAUAUCGAAAGAAAAGAUUGCGACCUCGAUGUUGAAUUAAAAUAUCUAUAUAAUGCAGCAGUUAUAUAAGAGGGUCUGUUCGACCUUUAAAUUUUUACAUGAUUUGAGUUCAGACCGGCGUGAGCCAGGUCGGUUUCUAUCUCUUAAAAUAAAAAAAUUACUUUAGUACGAAAGGAUUAAGUGAAUUUAAAAGUUUUAAUUUAAUUGAAAUAGUACUAUUUUGGCAG